CGUCAUUUUGUCGCGCUAGCUAGUCUUGAAUACAAACCAUCCUUCUUAAUGAGUUGGUACUGUUUACCAUCCUGCACAACCAUACAAAAGAACUUGAAAUUAUGAAGCUGAGACGCUGAACACGCAUAUCACAUUGUAGAUCAGAUGCUGAACGCUGCUGAGGAAGUUGCAUGCUUGAGAUAUCCUCCCGGGGCAACCGGGCAAAUGGCCCAAAGAACCUUCAACUUCGGCACCUGUGCUGCGGCCUGCUAUCGCAAGCUCAGAAUCGCUCUCUGACAAUGGCAACGUGGACUUUCUGUUCUUCCGGAAGACGUGGAAAUAGGUGUUGAUGACGACAAUAAACAAACCGAUCACCCAUGUUAGCACAGCAGUCUGCAUUAAAAUGUCAAUUCAGGCUCCCUCUCUCCUCAAGUAAUGUUUGGUUCAAUAUUUCCUGAGACGCACCCACAAUCACCAAGAAUAGCAGGUUCCAGAUGUUGUUCUGCAACAGCCCCAUCAGCUAUCUCC